rnacentral:rRNA from 1 species
CAAUAGCGUAUAUUUAAGUUGUUGCAGUUAAAAAGCUCGUAGUCGGAUUUUGGCUGAGAACGAUCGGUCCGCCGUUAGGUGUGCACUGAUUGGUCUCAGCUUCCUGGUGAGGAGGUGUGCUUCACGGCCACUUAGUCACCGUGGUUACUUUGAAAAAAUUAGAGUGUUCAAAGCGGGCUUACGCUUGAAUAUAUUAGCAUGGAAUAACACCAUAGGACUCCUGUCCUAUUUCGUUGGUCUCGGGACGGGAGUAAUGAUUAAGAGGAACAGUUGGGGGCAUUCGUAUUUCAUUGUCAGAGGUGAAAUUCUUGGAUUUAUGAAAGACGAACUUCUGCGAAAGCAUUUACCAAGGAUGUUUUCAUUGA